rnacentral:misc_RNA from 1 species
UGGACGGCGGGCACCACCUGG